rnacentral:rRNA from 1 species
GAUGAACGCUGGCGGCGUGCCUAAUACAUGCAAGUCGAGCGAACAGACGAGGAGCUUGCUCCUCUGACGUUAGCGGCGGACGGGUGAGUAACACGUGGAUAACCUACCUAUAAGACUGGGAUAACUUCGGGAAACCGGAGCUUAUACCGGAUAAUAUAUUGAACCGCAUGGUUCAAUAGUGAAAGACGGUUUUGCUGUCACUUAUAGAUGUAUCCGCGCCGCAUUAGCUAGUUGGUAAGGUAACGGCUUACCAAGGCAACGAUGCGUAGCCGACCUGAGAGGGUGAUCGGCCACACUGGAACUGAGACACGGUCCAGACUCCUACGGGAGGCAGCAGUAGGGAAUCUUCCGCAAUGGGCGAAAGCCUGACGGAGCAACGCCGCGUGAGUGAUGAAGGUCUUCGGAUCGUAAAACUCUGUUAUUAGGGAAGAACAAAUGUGUAAGUAACUAUGCACGUCUUGACGGUACCUAAUCAGAAAGCCACGGCUAACUACGUG